UACGGAGGGGGCAAGCGUUGUUCGGAAUUACUGGGCGUAAAGGGCGCGCAGGCGGCUGCUCAAGUCAGGCGUGAAAGCCCGGAGCUCAACUCCGGAAUUGCCAUUGAAACUGUGAGACCGGAGUACGAGAGAGGUGAGUGGAAUUCCCAGUGUAGAGGUGAAAUUCGUAGAUAUUGGGAAGAACACCGGUGGCGAAGGCGGCUCACUGGCUCGUAACUGACGCUCAGGCGCGACAGCGUGGGGAUCAAACAGG
rnacentral:rRNA from 1 species